AUUGAACGCUGGCGGCAGGCCUAACACAUGCAAGUCGAGCGGUAGAGAGAAGCUUGCUUCUCUUGAGAGCGGCGGACGGGCGAGUAAAGCCUAGGAAUCUGCCUGGUAGUGGGGGAUAACGUUCGGAAACGGACGCUAAUACCGCAUACGUCCUACGGGAGAAAGCAGGGGACCUUCGGGCCCUGCGCUAUCAGAUGAGCCUAGGUCGGAUUGGCUAGUUGGUGAGGUAAUGGCUCACCAAGGCGACGAUCCGUAACUGGUCUGAGAGGAUGAUCAGUCACACUGGAACUGAGACACGGUCCAGACUCCUACGGGAGGCAGCAGUGGGGAAUAUUGGACAAUGGGCGAAAGCCUGAUCCAGCCAUGCCGCGUGUGUGAAGAAGGUCUUCGGAUUGUAAAGCACUUUAAGUUGGGAGGAAGGGCAUUAACCUAAUACGUUAGUGUUUUGACGUUACCGACAGAAUAAGCACCGGCUAACUCUGUGCCAGCAGCCGCGGUAAUACAGAGGGUGCAAGCGUUAAUCGGAAUUACUGGGCGUAAAGCGCGCGUAGGUGGUUUGUUAAGUUGGAUGUGAAAUCCCCGGGGCUCCACCUGGGGAACUGCAUUCAAAACUGAUUGACUAUAUUAUGGUACAGGGUGGUGGAAAUUA
rnacentral:rRNA from 1 species